CUGUUCUCAGGCAGCUCACUGUCUGGAGGGAAUACAGGCAAGAGAACAGACCAUUACAACCGGAGUAAUGGGUGAGGUGAUAGAGGGAAGCAUAAACGGCUGUGGGAGCACUAGGAGGGACUUCACCCAGAGGAGGGAAUGCCUAAACAGUUGUUUAGAUGGAUGCACAGGUAAGUGGGUGGCUGGGUGGAUGAAUGAAUGGAUGAUGGAUGUACAGGUAAGUGGGUGGAUGGGUGGAUGAAUGAGUGGGUGAUGGAUGUACAGUUAGUAUGUGGAUGGGUGGAUGAAUGAAUGGAUGAAUAGGUAUAUAGGUGGGUGGAUGCAUUUGUGGGUAGAUAGGUGGAUGGAUGGCUAGGUUGGUAUGUGGGUGGAUAGGUGAGUAGAUGAAUGGGGGAAUUGGGGAAGGGUCAAUAAAUGGUUGUACGGGUGAGGAAACGUCACAGAAGGCAGUGGGGAAUGAGAGCAUAUUCCUGAUCAGGGCAGUCUUCCUUUACCUGGACUGUGAACACCUGAGGGCCGGGGACAAUACCUGAGUCAUCCCUUUAUUUCCACACCUAGCACAGGCCUGAUUCGUGGUAGGCCUUCAAUAAAUGUCGAGUAUGCGAAUCAACGAUAAUCAAGGAAUACCACGAAUUCAGAGUUCAGCCAAAUCUCUUCCCCUUUCUGGGCCUCAGUUUCUCUGUGUAAAUCAGAUAUGAAAACACCUGCCAUCAGAAUUUUUAAUGCUGUUGGUGCUGCAAAAGGGAGACUGUGCUUGGGAACCUGUUUUAGAAUUCGCCAUGUGACAGACCUCAGGCAACCAGCGUCUUCUACUUUGCCCACUGUCGCACUCCACAUCCGUGCCUCCGCGGCACUUUGUGUACAUUAUCUUACUCAACACUGGAUAGGUAUUGUUGUGAUUAUGCCCAUUUAACAGAUGAGGCUGUUGAGGCUCGGAGAGGCCAAGAAACUUUGAAGUCAGAUCAAUUGAGAUCGAAAUCCUGGCUCUGCCGUGUAAACUUGGGAAAGUUUACUUCACCUCUGGGAACCUCUCAAAGAUGAGGAGAUUAAACGAGAUAAAGCAUGGAAAGCGCCUGGCACACAGGAGGUCAUUGGUGGUGGUUCUCUUCGUUGCUCAAGCCGGGAAGUUAGAGUGAGAUUCUGUUCUUUCUAUCAACCAUGCUGAUGCCUUUACGUUAGUUAACAAAAAAGAUUACAGUUCUGCUUGGACUAUGGUGCUUCAACAUAUGUAAGGAAGAUUUCAACUGCACAUUUUGAAACUUGCAACGUUCAGAAUAACUAAAUAAUCAGUGAGCUGCUGUGGCCUCCCCGGGAAGAUAAUGUGCCAUUUCCUUCCCCCUCCUGCCUCCUAGUGGUGAAUGUGGGCACUGCAGGCUCAGCAUCCCCGCCCCCUCCCUCAACCUUCCAUCCAGGAGAGCCAGGCUCCCGGCUGCCUCCCAGGCCAUCUAGUGACUGUUGACUGCAGAGCAAGAAAGGAGGAGCGUGUGCCAAGCAAAUGAAUGAAGACGUCCUGCCUAGACCUCACGCCCUGCUCCAUCACUCACUGGCUGUGCGGCCUUGGGGGUAUCGUUCCCUGAAUGUUAGUUUCCACGUUGGUAAAAAUGGGUAAGACACCUACCUUGGAGAAUUUGGGGGGAUGAAUAUACUAACUGAGGCAAAACACCUAGCAAAGGGCGGAUGCUCCAUAAAAUAUAGUUCCUCUGCUAAUAAAAGGAAAAAUUAAAUAGCCCGACUAAAUUAUUACAGACUGGCUCACAGUUUCAUAGCAGAGUAAAGGGCCACGGGGCAGGUCAGUUUUGAGGGCAGGGGAAGAAGGUCAAAGGGCAUUGUUAGGACAAUCCAGGGCUGGGGCACAGCCGGGGAGUGUGGGUGCAGAGUCAAGAAGAGAUUCAAGAGCAUACCAAUGACCUUGAGAAGUGACCUCUGCUUGUGUUGUUAGGACACAGACAUGUGGAGGUCUCAGGCCACAGCAGAGGAGGGGACAUGAACAACAGCAAGUGUUCCAGGAAGGACUGUGGACCAGGCCAGUCAAGGAGUGCUCCCUGGAGGAAGGGAUAUUUAAAGCUGGGGUAGGUUCUGGAGAGUGAGGCGGGGAUCGAGGGGGUGUUCCAGAUCAGGGAGGGAAAGAAAGAGGAAGCACAAGCCAAGGUCCAAGGGCUUUGAGAAGGAGACCAGCUGGAGAGAAGGCAGGGCAGGAGGUCAGGCCAGACCACCCUGGGGCCAGGAGCUUCACCGGGACCCCCUGGAUGGGGAGGAGCCUGAGAAAAUGUUCCAACAGGGCCUGACAAGGGCAGAGGCUGAGCAGCUUAACUUAACAUCUCUGUGCAGAUUGGAUGGGAAGAAUGACUAGAUUUGGUUAAAUGCACGAAAAAUUCAAAGCCACAAUCCCUGAAGCCAGUAUGGGGUAGGAACAGCAAAGGGACACAGCUGUCUCCUGGCCCCGGCUCUUUUCAGCAGGCUCAGCGGCAGCUCCCCUCACUGAAAGGUGGCAAGGUGCAGUGCAGGGCCAGCAUUCUGUGGUUUCGGAGCCCCCGGGGACCCCAAGGUCUCUGGGUGGUUGUAGGGUGAUCAUUUACGGUGGCUGAAUGGGGGCCUAGAGGUCAAGUGUGGAUCCUGCGGUCAAUGAGGAGGAAGGAACGACAGGAUUGGAUUGCUGGCUGGGUAUAAGGAGGGAUGAGGGCAUUGAAGGUGACGCCCUGGUUUUGGGCCUGGACAAGGGGUGAGCCAAGGAGGGAGUAGGAGAAAGGAGUGUGCCUGUUACUGUGGCAGGACACACAGGAAGAGCAGAUUUGGGGUGGGAGAAGAUCCUCAGCUUCCUAAUGGGGAGGAGAAUGUAUCAGAACUCCUUCCAGCCCCCUGGCUCAACAGAUUCAAAGUGGCUUAGACACACAGCGCGUUCUGUUUUCUGCGUUUGUUUUUCUUCUCCCAUGAAGCAGUCCAGGUGGGCGUCCAGGGCAGGUACUGAGCCCCACCAAGUUAUCAAGGAUCCAGACGGCUCCCAUCUUUCUGCUCCAGCGCACGUGACUGCCGCCCUUCCCAUCACCUCAGGAUCCAAGAUGGCAGUGGAGUCGGGCAUCACGUGUCUGUCCAGUCGGUGAACAGGAGGAAGGGGAGGGGGAGACGGGACGAGACUGCGAGUCAAGUGAGCUUCUUUCAAGUAAUCUCAGAAGUCCCCCAUGACACCUUCACAUCUGUUGGGAAGAACCAAGUCACAUGGCCAUUACUACUGCCAAGGCAGGCUGGGAAAUAGCAUCUUUAUUAUGGACAACCAUGUACCCAGCUCAACAGUGGGGACCUGUUGCUAGGUACAAAGAAGAGAAUAGAUGCGGGGAGGCAGCUGGCAGUCCUUGCCCUAAUCAUCACUCAAGAUGCCCAGAACU
rnacentral:lncRNA from 1 species